AGAACCGCGCUCAAGCCAAAAGAAAGCCCCGGGGAGGUCUUCUUCCCGGACUCCGGCUGCCUCGAUCCGCCUCGGUCCCGACAAAAUUCCCUCCGGUGAGUGGAGCUGAGCGCCUCAAAAUUUGCCCGUAGCCUUGUGUUGAUUCCACCCCCCUAAGUCGCGCCUCAAUUUGAUGGUAGGAGCUCUCUCUGGUGAGAUCGUGUGACGUGCAAGGCUGCCGUCCGCCAGAGAAGAAGACGACGUCGGUGACGACCAGUUCCACCUGCCAUCGAUGCAGAAGGACACAAUGAGUGCACAUGUGCCCUUGGUUGCCCUUGCCAUGCCUUGCAUCAUCGUCUGCGACCACCACAAGCCUCUGUCGCCGGUGGAAAUUCAAAUCUGACGGGUGGGAUCCCCUCGUCAGGAUCCUUUUCUUUUCUGAAUCAUUUUCCUGAAGGCGCCUUGCUACCGAAUACGCCUUCCCCUUCUGGCCCCUAUAUUUUUCUAAAAACGCUUUCUUUUUUUCACUCUACCUCAUGGGGAGUUUUUCUUUGAUCACACAUUAGUCGCUGGUGCCAAUUCUUUCAUAUCUUUUAAACCACAAAAGCUUUUUCGGUGAUUCUUUUUGAAAAAAAAUCUUUUGCUGUCUAGUUUGUUUCUAUAUUUAUUUAAAAAUAUUUGGAAACAAUAAUUUGAGCCCUAGCACUUACGAUAGAAUAUGGUAUGUGUGACAUAGUUUUCGACGAGGGAAACGCCGCCGUCAACUUCACCGAGCUUGAUCCCGACUAUGUGGAACCAGGCAAGCAUGUUUGAACUUUUGAUGUGAUGUUUGCUAAUAAAAUUUUAUUAAUCACCUGCUACAUUAACUAACAUCUUGCAUAUUACUUAUAUAACUCAAUAUGUGAGUAUGAGGAUUGAUGUGGCUAUGAGAGGCCGUGGAUAGCCUAGUCACGCGGGACGCGAUAGAUUGUGGCCUGGUCAUGCCGGAUGCAUGAUCGUGGUGAGAUAAAAUUGAAUAACUCCAGUAACGACCUAGAUCGAGUCUUGUGAGUGUGUCAACUUUUCUUUCGUGCUGGCAUAGUUUCUUCGGAAAGGGAAUGCGGUGUAGUCGGUCGUGAACCUAUUAUCAGUUACAUGCUGAUAUGUCUCCAACGUAUCUAUAUUUUUGAUGGUUCCAUGCUAUUAUCUUGUCAACUUUGAAUGUUUUGUAUGCAUGAAUAUGCUAUUUUAUAUCUUUUUUGGGACUAACCUAUUAACUCAGUGCCAAGUGCCAGUUUCUGUUUUUUUUCCCGUGUUUUUGACCUUUUCCAGAGAAGAAUAUUAAACAGAGUCCAAACGAAAUAAAACUUGCAGGAUGAUUUUUUGCAUAACAGAAGAUACGCAGGGGACUUGAGAACCAAGGCAGGAGACCUCAGGGGAGAUCACAAGCCCCCUAGCCGUGGCCUGGGGAGCGCCUGGCAGGCUUGUGGGCCCCACUUGGCUCCUUUGCCCUACCUCUUUCGCCUAUAAAUUCUCUAAAUUCCCGAAACCAAAGAAGGGAGCCACGAAAAUACUUUUACGCCGCCGCAAGCUUCUGCCUCCGCAAGAUACCAUCUGGGGACCGUUCUGGUGCCCUACCGGAGGGGGAUUCGGACACGGAGGGCUUCUUAAUCAACACCAUUGCUUCUCCGAUGAUGCGUGAGUAGUUCACCAUAGACCUUCGGGUCCAGAGCUAGUAGCUAGAUGGCUUCUUCUCUCUAUUGGAUCUUCAAUACAAAGUUCUCUAUGAUCUUCAUGGAGAUCUAUCCGAUGUAACCUUCUUUUGCCGUGUGGUUGUCGAGAUCCGAUGAAUUAUGGAUUUAUGAUCAGAUUAUCUAUGAAUAUUAUUUGAGUCUUCUCUGAUCUCUUAUAUGCAUGA
rnacentral:lncRNA from 1 species